UUUGUCCCUGUAACAGUACAGUUACUAAUGUUAUGUAAGGCUAUUACCCUGAUGUUAGCAUGAAGCUACAUAGCAGUGCUAAUGUAGUUCUAUG